AACGAACGCUGGCGGCAGGCUUAACACAUGCAAGUCGAGCGCCCCGCAAGGGGAGCGGCAGACGGGUGAGUAACGCGUGGGAAUCUACCCAUCUCUACGGAAUAACGCAUGGAAACGUGUGCUAAUACCGUAUACGUCCUUCGGGAGAAAGAUUUAUCGGAGAUGGAUGAGCCCGCGUUGGAUUAGCUAGUUGGUGGGGUAAAGGCCUACCAAGGCGACGAUCCAUAGCUGGUCUGAGAGGAUGAUCAGCCACACUGGGACUGAGACACGGCCCAGACUCCUACGGGAGGCAGCAGUGGGGAAUAUUGGACAAUGGGCGCAAGCCUGAUCCAGCCAUGCCUCGUGAGUGAUGGAGGCCCUAGGGUUGUAAAGCUCUUUCACCGGUGAAGAUAAUGACGGUAACCGGAGAGGAAGCCCCGGCUAACUUCGUGCCAGCCGCCGCUGUAACAC
rnacentral:rRNA from 1 species